rnacentral:rRNA from 1 species
AUGGAGGAGUACUCAGCGUCCUCCUCCCAGCGCGGUGGCGGUGGCGGCCGCGGGGAGCUGCAGGGCCCGCGCCCGGCGCCGCUCAGGGUCCACAAGGACUCGCACAGGAUCAAGAAGCCGCCCGCCUCGCAGGUGCGGCAGCCGGUCAUCAUCUACACGGUGUCGCCCAAGGUCGUGCACGCCAACCCCGGCGAGUUCAUGUCCGUCGUGCAGCGCCUCACCGGCGCCUCCUCGUCAUCCUCCUCACUCCCACCGCCGCCACAGUCGACGCUCCCGUUCCCGUUCUUCCCGCAGCGGUCGUCGUCUUCCAUGCUCCCGCCGGCGUUGCCGCAAACGCUGCCGUUCCCGUUCCAGCUCCAGCAAGCAUCUGGGCCGCAGGCGCACGAGGGUGCGCUGCUCCAGCAUCAGCACUCGCCUGCCGCGCGCCUCGCUGCCAUCGAGCAGGCGUCGGCGCCAGCCGCACGGAGCACCGGUGUUCAUCGUGGAGGGCUGCCGCCGCUGCCGAGCAUCCUGUCUCCGGUGCCGGGAUCUCUCCCGGCGAUCCCACCGGGCUUCUUCUCUCCGCCGGCCGGCGGAGCUGGCGGUGGCAUCAAUCUGUUCGGCGAGCUGAUCAGCCCGGCAUUCCAUGGCCACGGCGCGCUAACCGGCACCACCGCCGGUGCAAGUCCUACACCAAUGUCAUUACAGUAUUUCCCCGCUGCAGCUGCGCCGUCGCCGUCGACCCCCUACUAUUGGGAUCUCUUCAACAACCACCCAAACCACCUAUAA